UUGGGAUAGCUCAGUGGUAGAGCAGAGCCGCCCUU
rnacentral:tRNA from 1 species